GAUGAACGCUGGCGGCGUGCCUAAUACAUGCAAGUCGAGCGAACGGACGAGAAGCUUGCUUCUCUGAUGUUAGCGGCGGACGGGUGAGUAACACGUGGAUAACCUACCUAUAAGACUGGGAUAACUUCGGGAAACCGGAGCUAAUACCGGAUAAUAUUUUGAACCGCAUGGUUCAAAAGUGAAAGACGGUCUUGCUGUCACUUAUAGAUGGAUCCGCGCUGCAUUAGCUAGUUGGUAAGGUAACGGCUUACCAAGGCAACGAUGCAUAGCCGACCUGAGAGGGGGAACGGGCACACAGGAGGUGAGAGACGGUCCAGGCUCCUACGGAAGGCAGCAGUAGGGAAUCGUCCGCGAUGGGCGGAAGACUGACGGAGCGACGGCGCGUGAGUGAUGAAAGUCUGCGGAUCGUAAAACUCUGUUAUUAGGGAAGAACAUAUGUGUAAGUAACUGAGCACAUCUUGACGGUACCGACUCAGAAAGCCACGGCUAACUACGU
rnacentral:rRNA from 1 species